rnacentral:tRNA from 1 species
CGGGGAGUACCUCAGCUGGUAGAGGCGUAGCUUUGGGUGCUACGAGCCGUGGGUUCGAAUCCCAUCUCCCCGACCA